GGCUCAAUGGCGUAGUUGGUUAUCGCAUCUGUCUAACAUACCCAAGGUUGUAGUUUGCAUAGAAGGUCUCCUGUUCGAACUAGGGUUGAGUCA